rnacentral:rRNA from 1 species
UACGAAGGGGGCUAGCGUUGUUCGGAAUUACUGGGCGUAAAGAGCGCGCAGGCGGUCGUUCAAGUCGAGUGUGAAAGCCCCCGGCUCAACUGGGGAGGGUCAUUCGAUACUGAUCGACUUGAAGGCAGGAGAGGGAAGUGGAAUUCCCGGUGUAGUGGUGAAAUGCGUAGAUAUCGGGAGGAAACACCAGUGGCGAAGGCGACUUCCUGGCCUGUUCUUGACGCUGAGGCGCGAAAAGCUAGGGGAGCAACAGGGG